rnacentral:rRNA from 1 species
UACGGAGGAUGCAAGCGUUAUCCGGAGUGAUUGGGCGUAAAGCGUCCGCGGGUGGUUGUGUGUGUCUAUUGUCAAAGCAUCAUGCUUAACAUGAUAAAGGCAGUAGAAACUACACGACUAGAGUGCGUUCGGGGCAGAGGGAAUUCCUGGUGUAGCGGUGAAAUGCGUAGAGAUCAGGAAGAACACCGGUGGCGAAAGCGCUCUGCUAGGCCGCAACUGACACUGAGGGACGAAAGCUAGGGGAGCGAAGGGG